rnacentral:sRNA from 1 species
CUGACAAAGCACUCAAAAGCACCGCCAGUCGUUAACCUUUUAAUGGUUAGCGACUGGCGGUGCUUUUGGGUGAAACGUUGUUUGG